rnacentral:lncRNA from 1 species
GCAGAGUGGAGAGAAGAGAGAUUGACUUUGCUCACCAUAGGAAGAAUGGGAUGGGCAGUGAACGGAAUGUGUCUCAUAUUUCCACUUAUAGUAGAAUGAAUGAAUGUGUCUCAUAUUUCCACUUAUAGUAGAAUGAAACAGCAAACCGAGGUACAAAAAAGCUAGCCUAACCUUGCUCUUGCUUUCUUCGCAUCCAAGCACUAUUAGAUAGAAAUGAACCCAUAUGGACUAGAGAAAUAGGGGAGCCCCGGCUGUGUAUCGCACUUAUUCUGUAUAAAGAUGAGUCUCUAUGGUAAAGAUGCCUCUAAUCUGUGUCCACUCUCCAAAUUCUAUCGAUAAAGGGCCUAUGUUAUCUAUCUUAUCUAUUUUAUGCCUAAUCCAGCCUAUGUUGAACCAAGCUAUAGAUUGUUGAAGGCCUAUGUUGAACCAAGCUAUAGAUUGUUGAAGCAAGAAGAGAAUCAUAGAUUGAUGUCACAUAGUUCCAUGUUGUAUAUUAGAUUGCUGCAUUGAUUUCCUCUUCUAUAGGGGUCUGUCUGUCUCAUCGGACACCUAUUGCUUGGCCGCUUGCUUUACCAAUGGCUUUCAAGGACGUUAUUGAGAGCGGAGUCCAAACCAAAACUCAUUCAUUCAUUUAGAAAAUACUAGAAUAGCGCUGAAUUAGUUGGUGGCAACCAGGCUGAAACAGCCGAGACCCGACCCAACACCAUAUAUCCUCUUCAUCACAGGAAGAAGGUAAAUCCAUGUAGUUUCUUGAGUUAUAUCGAUGGUAAUCAACGAGAAUAGAAAAAGAAGGCUUGCACAGCUAGGCAGACGGGUCUCUCGCGCCGCCACUACUAUACAUCGAAGGAACAGAACAAAUCAGAAUUUCGAAGACAAGACAGAAGAAAUCAGAAUUCGCAUGGUGGUUUGGAAAGAGAAGAUUGAAGCCCAGCAACAUACUUGGAGUUUUCAUAUACAUUGCCUAGUCAUAAAUGUCGAUACAUCUGACUAAACUAUUCUUGGUCGUCCGCACGAUCAUCACAUGGUGCCAUCCACUUAUCACCAAUGCAUAUCAUACCCCCGCGCCCUAGGAUUGGUAGGCAUAGUGGCGGACAAUGAUCCGGGCUUAAGCUUAUAAUUAAGAAGCCCUAUAAGCAAGCAAGAAGCCCUAUAAGCAAGCGAAGAAAGAAAGAAAAAGGAGAAAGAAGCGGUAAAAGGUUCCAAUUAGGAAAGGAAGCGAGACUCCACUAGAAAUUAGACCUUCCGUCCAUGUCCCUAGGUCCAAAAGAGAAAAGAAAGGGGCUAGAACACUGAAAAUCAACCCGAGGCGAGAGAAACUAUCCUAUUAAGGAAUUGAUCUGUUGUGUGGUGUAGACCGAAAAUCCAUUGAAGGGUUUCUGCCAUCUGUAACUACGAGCGCACGCACCCCUGAUCAGUGCAUUGGGAUGUGUCUAUUUCUAUCUUUUGACUCGAAAUAGGAGAGAGCUGGUUGGAGAAAAAGGAUAUUAGAGUUGAUAGGGUAUCUCUUGACUCGAAAUAGGAGAGCUGGUGAGUUUGAAAAAGGAUCUUAGAGUUGAUAGGGGUAGCCUUCGAUUCUUUCUUUCCAUCAGAGUUAUUUCACAAAGACUUGGUCAUGGUAAGGGAGAAGGGGGGGGAACAAGCACACAUGAAGAGCGCAGUAUAACGAAGAGUUUGAUGCUGCCGUUCAGGAAGGUACCAAAAUGAAUCUAGUGAAUCUAUCUCAAGGUGUGGGUGCGAUGAUUUACUUUGACUUCACGGGCGAGGUAAGGGAGAAAAAGAAUGGAAUAAGCAUCUGACUCUUUCAUGCAUACAAAACUUGGGGCGAUAUUGCUCCGUUGGUAUAACUCUGCUCUUGAUAUUGGGUCGUUCCGAUUACGGGUUAGAUGUCCAAUUGUCAAGGCGGUAAGAAAUCAUCUAGUAAGAAAGAAGAAAGGCGGUAAGAAAUCAUCCAGUAAGAAAGAAUUCAGAAUAUAAAGAAAUAAGAAAUACAUAGAAUAGUAUAAUAUAAAUAAAGAAUAGUAUAAUAUAAAUAAAGAAUAGUAUAAUAGAAUUCAAUAAGAAAUAAUAGAAUAGUCAAUAAGAAAUAAUAGAAUAGUAUAAUCAAUAUUGUAAGAAAUAAUAGAAUUGUAUAUUGUACCUGAACCCGUGGCUCACUUUUCUAAGUAAUGGGGAAUAGGACCGCGCUGAAUGACUCCACUGAUACAAAAAGAGAGGCUGAACGUAGAGGAGGUGCGUUGGUCUAAUCUAGUAUGGAUCUACCAUGGACGAUAGUUUGAGUAAGCGGCUCUCCUGGGGUUAACUCAUCUGGUAUCCCAGGGGCAGAGAAGAGGAUCAAGUUAGCCCUUGCGAAUAGCGCACACUAUAGCACCUUAACCCUUUGAGCGAAAUGUGGCAAUUAACCCUUUGAGCGAAAUGUGGCAAAAGGAAGGAAAGGAUAGGAUAAUUCAGGGACCUUCGUCUCCACCCACCCCGUAGGAACUACGAGAUCACACCAACCAAGGACGUCUGCGGCUUCCAGGGGUCACAGACAGACCAUAGACCUAGUUCAAUAAGUAUAACGCAUUAGCAGUCUGCGGGCAGUAAGGGUAGCCGAAGGGCAAUCACUAGUUCUUAACGCCCAUUCUUCAGACCAAAGAAAGAGUCGGGCGGGAGGCCAGUUCUACUUUAGCUGUAUUCUACGGAAGCACAAGAAUCUUUAGAAUAGGAUUCCCACUCUGAGCACCACCCCUUUUCUAUUUACUCUGAGCACCACCCCUUUUUCUAUUUGGAGAAAAGAAAGAAGAGUUGUUCUCGAAAGAGCACACAGAUUCAAGUUGUAAGCUGUGUUCGGGGGAAGUUCUUGUUUGUCUAUCGUUGGCCUAUAUAGUAUAAAGAAUACGUCGGGGAGGCCUGAGAGGCGGUAGUUUACCCUGGGGCAGAUGUCAACGGUUCGAGUCCACUUAUCUACAGCCCGUGAACUUCACUGAUACUAUAGAUAAGAUAGCUACCCUCCAAUUCGCCAGCCUAUCUUGGGGUUAGUAAAGGCUAUUCGAUUUCGCAUUCAUAGAAGUUGGUUGAGAAGAUCCUUUUCCAUUUAGAAUAGAAGCACUGCACCGUGCACAGUAUUAACAACCUUAAUGGUGAGGUUCAGAAGA